UACGAAGGGUGCAAGCGUUAAUCGGAAUUACUGGGCGUAAAGCGUGCGUAGGCGGUUUCUUAAGUCUGCUGUGAAAUCCCCGGGCUCAACCUGGGAAUGGCAGUGGAUACUGGGAGGCUAGAGUGUGUCAGAGGAUGGUGGAAUUCCCGGUGUAGCGGUGAAAUGCGUAGAUAUCAGGAGGAACACCUGUGGUGUAGACAGCUUACUGGACCACUUCUGACGCUGAGACACGAAAGCGUGGGUAGCAAACAGG
rnacentral:rRNA from 1 species